rnacentral:rRNA from 1 species
UACGGGGGGGGCAAGCGUUGUUCGGAAUUACUGGGCGUAAAGGGCGCGUAGGCGGCCUCCGCAAGUCGACUGUGAAAUCUCUGGGCUUAACCCAGAACGGUCAGCCGAUACUGCGGGGCUAGAGUGCAGAAGGGGCAACUGGAAUUCUCGGUGUAGCGGUGAAAUGCGUAGAUAUCGAGAGGAACACCUGCGGCGAAGGCGGGUUGCUGGGCUGACACUGACGCUGAGGCGCGAAAGCUAGGGGAGCGAACAGG